rnacentral:lncRNA from 1 species
AACACUUAGAUGCAAACUCACUAGCUUCGACUCGAUUAACUAACGGGAUCAUAUAAGAACGAAUAUAUCACACAAACAACAUCAAUUUAAUAGCAGCCAACAACCAGCAACCCAAAAAUAUAAAUUUUAGACAUCACGAUAUCAUUCCGAAUAGAAAGAAGAGGCAAAAGAAUAUUGCGAAGGAUAAGAGGCUACCUUUCUCCGGGCAGCGAACAGAGGAGACGAGCAGG